rnacentral:rRNA from 1 species
AACGAACGCUGGCGGCAUGCCUAACACAUGCAAGUCGAACGAGAUCUUCGGGUCUAGUGGCGCACGGGUGCGUAACGCGUGGGAAUCUGCCCUUUGGUUCGGAAUAACAGUUGGAAACGACUGCUAAUACCGGAUGAUGACGAAAGUCCAAAGAUUUAUCGCCAGAGGAUGAGCCCGCGUAGGAUUAGCUAGUUGGUGUGGUAAAGGCGCACCAAGGCGACGAUCCUUAGCUGGUCUGAGAGGAUGAUCAGCCACACUGGGACUGAGACACGGCCCAGACGCCUACGGGAGGCAGCAGUGGGGAAUAUUGGACAAUGGGCGAAAGCCUGAUCCAGCAAUGCCGCGUGAGUGAUGAAGGCCUUAGGGUUGUAAAGCUCUUUUACCCGGGAUGAUAAUGACAGUACCGGGAGAAUAAGCUCCGGCUAACUCCGUGCCAGCAGCCGCCGCCGUAA